GACUUUGCGUUACAGCCAGCUCUUCGCAAGGCUGAUGGCUGGUGGCAAUUGCCACCGGCCU
rnacentral:sRNA from 1 species